GACGAACGCUGGCGGCGUGCUUAACACAUGCAAGUCGAACGGAAAGGCCCUGCUUGCCGGGUACUCGAGUGGCGAACGGGUGAGUAACACGUGGGUGAUCUGCCCUGCACUUCGGGAUAAGCCUGGGAAACUGGGUCUAAUACCGGAUAUGACCUUCCAUGUAGUGUGGGGGGUGGAAAGAUUUAUCGGUGUGGGAUGAGCCCGCGGCCUAUCAGCUUGUUGGUGGGGUAAUGGCCUACCAAGGCGUCGACGGGUAGCCGGCCUGAGAGGGUGGACGGCCACAUUGGGACUGAGAUACGGCCCAGACUCCUACGGGAGGCAGCAGUGGGGAAUAUUGCACAAUGGGCGGAAGCCUGAUGCAGCGACGCCGCGUGGGGGAUGACGGCCUUCGGGUUGCAAACCUCUUUCGACAGGGACGAAGCUUCGGUGACGGUACCUGUAUAAGAAGCACCGGCUAACUACGUG
rnacentral:rRNA from 1 species